GCGUCGCGAACUCGAGCGGCAGAGUACCGGCCCCUUAAGCCGACAAGUCAGGGUUCGAGCCCCUGGCGACGCACCA
rnacentral:tRNA from 1 species